UUUUAGCCCUGAUAGUAGUGGAAAUCCUUUUUUGAAUUGUUUUUUCAAUUCAAAAAAGAUUGUAACGAAUAGCAGGAAAAUGG
rnacentral:sRNA from 1 species